CGAGUUUAUGCGUAUCUGAGAAAUGCUGUGUUUGUCGAAUUAUUAGAAAUGGGUUCUCUGCCAAGAAGGAGCUUAAAGGUGGAAUAGGUGUAUUCACAACUUCUACUAGUGGCAGAGCUUUUGAAUCUAUUGAAAUAUUUGAGGGAGACCCAUCAAUAAGGAAAGCUUUGAUAGUAUGCAGAGUAAUAGCCGGGAGAGUUCAUAGGCCUUUGGAUAAUAUACAAGAAAUAUCUGGCCAAACGGGGUUUGAUUCAUUAGCAG
rnacentral:misc_RNA from 1 species